rnacentral:rRNA from 1 species
GAUGAACGCUGGCGGCGUGCUUAACACAUGCAAGUCGAACGAUGAUGCCCAGCUUGCUGGGUGGAUUAGUGGCGAACGGGUGAGUAACACGUGAGUAACCUGCCCUUGACUCUGGGAUAAGCCUGGGAAACUGGGUCUAAUACCGGAUACGACCAUCUGGCGCAUGUCAUGGUGGUGGAAAGCUUUUGUGGUUUUGGAUGGACUCGCGGCCUAUCAGCUUGUUGGUGGGGUAAUGGCCUACCAAGGCGACGGCGGGUAGCCGGCCUGAGAGGGUGACCGGCCACACUGGGACUGAGACACGGCCCAGACUCCUACGGGAGGCAGCAGUGGGGAAUAUUGCACAAUGGGCGCAAGCCUGAUGCAGCGACGCCGCGUGAGGGAUGACGGCCUUCGGGUUGUAAACCUCUUUCAGUAGGGAAGAAGCGAAAGUGACGGUACCUGCAGAAGAAGCGCCGGCUAACUACGUG